rnacentral:rRNA from 1 species
AACCACUUCGGUGGGGAUUAGUGGCGAACGGGUGAGUAACACGUGGGCAAUCUGCCCUUCACUCUGGGACAAGCCCUGGAAACGGGGUCUAAUACCGGAUAUCACUCUCCAAGGCAUCUUGGUGGGUUGAAAGCUCCGGCGGUGAAGGAUGAGCCCGCGGCCUAUCAGCUUGUUGGUGAGGUAACGGCUCACCAAGGCGACGACGGGUAGCCGGCCUGAGAGGGCGACCGGCCACACUGGGACUGAGACACGGCCCAGACUCCUACGGGAGGCAGCAGUGGGGAAUAUUGCACAAUGGGCGAAAGCCUGAUGCAGCGACGCCGCGUGAGGGAUGACGGCCUUCGGGUUGUAAACCUCUUUCAGCAGGGAAGAAGCGAAAGUGACGGUACCUGCAGAAGAAGCGCCGGCUAACUACGUGCCAGCAGCCGCGGUAAUACGUAGGGCGCAAGCGUUGUCCGGAAUUAUUGGGCGUAAAGAGCUCGUAGGCGGCUUGUCACGUCGGGUGUGAAAGCCC